AGAUAUGAGGGCAAUCUAGCUACAACAUGUCACCCCACUGAUCACCAGCGUUGAUUUGAUUGAUCUGCUGACGAGGCCACUCUUCCCUUUCUCCCUCACGGUUCUGUGUGCAUCCCUCCUGAAGCUUCGAGCUCAAAGCAGACAACUUUCUCAGAUAAGAGUACUGUUCUAGUUAAGGGUACAUGGGUAGCUGUGCUCCCCUGCUAGAACCUCCAAACAAGCUCUAAGGUCAAUGGUUACCAUCCAAGGUCAUUACCAAGGCCCUUAAUCACAUAUCCAAAUUCAUCUUCUAUUCCUCUCUCCCUCUGUUCACUUU
rfam:Heterocephalus glaber contig53470, whole genome shotgun sequence.